rnacentral:rRNA from 1 species
UGAGGGAUACUGGUCAAUGGGCGCAAGCCUGAACCAGCGACGCCGCGUGGGUGAAGAAGGUCUUCGGAUCGUAAAGCCCUUUUCCCACUGAAGAGGAAGGACGGUAGGUGGGGAAGAAGUCUCGGCUAACUACAUGCCAGCAGCCGCGGUAAAACGUAGGAGACAAGCGUUAUCCGGAGUUACUGGGCGUAAAGGGCGUGCAGGUGGCGUCUUAAGUCUGUUGUGAAAGCGCCUGGCUUAACCGGGCGAGGCCAAUGGAGACUGAGAGGCUGGAGGACGGCGGAGGGGUGUGGAAUUCCGGGUGUAGUGGUGAAAUGCGUAGAGAUCCGGAGGAACACCAGAGGCGAAGGCGGCACUCUAAGCCGUACCUGACACUGAGACGCGACAGCACGGGGAGCAAACG